rnacentral:lncRNA from 1 species
UCUUCACUGCCCUGUGUCUUCUUUCCAAGGGUCUCGGUGAUUCGGCCACAGCCUCAGCCUCCAUCACGCGGUGAACUGAUGGUGCUGGAAGAUUCAUAGACUCCAGGACAUUCCUGAAGCCGAGAAAAGGUUAAGUAGGGUCUGGCCUGGAAUACUCUCCUAGAUGAAGAUAGCCCAACCAUGAGCCACCUUCGAAGCAGAUGAGAUGAAAUUAAAGCUCUUCAACUCCUAAAGGCCCAGAGACUAUCACAAAAGAGGUCAGAAAUCCUGAAGGUCACUUUCUGACAAACUCAGGAACCCCAGGUUUAUCUUGGAGCCUCAAGAGGAGAUAAAUUCACCCAACUCAGGCUGGAGUGCAGUGGAAUGAUCUUGGCUCACUUCCGUCUCCGCCUUCCAGUUUCAAGUGAUUCUCCUGCCUCAGCCUACUGAGUAGUUGGGAUUACAGGUGCCUGCCACCACACCCAGCUAAUUUUUGUAUUUUUAGUAAAGAUGGGGUUUCACCAUGUUGGCCAGGCUGGUCUCAAACUCCUGACGUCAUGAUCUGCCCGCUUCAGUCUCCCAAAGUGUGAUUACAGGUGUGAGCCACCAUGCCUGGCAAGGCAUUCUUUUUUAUUAGGGGGGUGUUGUUUAUUACCUCUUCUAUAGAAAAGUAAAGACAUUAAAAUGUAAGAUGCAUAAUAAAAAUCUAAGUGGAGAGGCUCUUAUAACCUAUAAUAUUGAGUGAUGCAUCAGGUAGGUGUUCAGAGUAAUCUGCAUUAUCAUGAGAAGAAAACAUGUUUAAUUUUAUUUAAAAUUAAAUGAGUAGUAUAUUAUUGUACUAAUUGUACUAAUUUUUUCUGAGACAGAGUUUUGCUCUUGGUGCCCAGGCUGGAGUGCAUUGGCACGAUCUCUGGCUCACUGUGACCUCUGCCUCCCAGAUUCAAGUGAUU